AUAGAGAGGGAGGAGGAAAGGAAAGAUGAACCAUGGUUGGGUUGAGGCAAGCAGGGUAAGGGAGAGAGAGAGAGAAAGCCAUGGUUGAGGAGAGAGAGAGAGAGAGAGAGAGAGAGAGAGAGAGAGAGAGAGAGAGAGAAAGCCAUGGUUGAGGAGAGCAGGGUAAAGGAGAGAGAGAGAAAGCCAUGGUUGAGGCGAGCAGGGUAAAGGAGUGACAGAAAGCCAUGGUUGAGGCGAGCAGGGUAAAGGAGAGACAGAAAGCCAUGGUUGAGGCGAGCAGGGUAAAGGAGAGAGAGAAAGCCAUGGUUGAGGUGAGCAGGGUAAAGGAGAGAGAGAAAGCCAUGGUUGAGGCGAGCAGGGUAAAGGAGAGAGAGAAAGCCAUGGUUGAGGUGAGCAGGGUAAAGGAGAGAGAGAGAGAAAGCCAUGGUUGAGGUGAGCAGGGUAAAGGAGAGAGAGAAAGCCAUGGUUGAGGUGAGCAGGGUAAAGGAGAGAGAGAGAGAGAAAGCCAUGGUUGAGGUGAGCAGGGUAAAGGAGAGAGAGAGAGCCAUGGUUGAGGUGAGCAGGAUAAAGGAGAGAGAGAGAGAGAAAGCCAUGGUUGAGGAGGCGAGCAGGGUAAAGGGGAGAGAGAGAGCCAUGGUUGAGGUGAGCAGGAUAAAGGAGAGAGAGAGAGAGAAAGCCAUGGUUGAGGAGGCGAGCAGGGUAAAGGGGAGAGAGAGAGCCAUGGUUGAGGUGAGCAGGAUAAAGGAGAGAGAGAGAGAGAGAGAGAAAGCCAUGGUUGAGGUGAGCAGGGUAAAGGAGAGAGAGAGAGAGAAAGCCAUGGUUGAGGCGAGCAGGGUAAAGGGGAGAGAGAGAGCCAUGGUUGAGGUGAGCAGGAUAAAGGAGAGAGAGAGAGAGAAAGCCAUGGUUGAGGAGGCGAGCAGGGUAAAGGGGAGAGAGAGAGCCAUGGUUGAGGUGAGCAGGAUAAAGGAGAGAGAGAGAGAGAGAGAGAAAGCCAUGGUUGAGGUGAGCAGGGUAAAGGAGAGAGAGAAAGCCAUGGUUGAGGUGAGCAGGGUAAAGGAAAGAGAGAAAGCCAUGGUUGAGGUGAGCAGGGUAAAGGAGAGAGAGAAAGCCAUGGUUGAGGUGAGCAGGGUAAAGGAGAGAGAGAAAGCCAUGGUUGAGGUGAGCAGGGUAAAGGAGAGAGAGAAAGCCAUGGUUGAGGUGAGCAGGGUAAAAGAGAGAGAGAAAGCCAUGGUUGAGGUGAGCAGGGUAAAGGAGAGAGAGAAAGCCAUGGUUGAGGUGAGCAAGGUAAAGGAGAGAGAGAAAGCCAUGGUUGAGGUGAGCAGGGUAAAGGAGAGAGAGAAAGCUAUGGUUGGGGUGAGCAGGGUAAAGGAGAGAGAGAAAGCCAUGGUUGAGGUGAGCAGGGUAAAGGAGAGAGAGAAAGCCAUGGUUGAGGUGAGCAGGGUAAAGGAGAGAGAGAAAGCCAUGGUUGAGGUGAGCAGGGUAAAGGAGAGAGAGAAAGCCAUGGUUGAGGUGAGCAGGGUAAAGGAGAGAGAGAAAGCCAUGGUUGAGGUGAGCAGGGUAAAGGAGAGAGAGAAAGCCAUGGUUGAGGUGAGCAGGGUAAAGGAGAGAGAGAAAGCCAUGGUUGAGGUGAGCAGGGUAAAGGAGAGAGAGAAAGCCAUGGUUGAGGUGAGCAAGGUAAAGGAGAGAGAGAAAGCCAUGGUUGAGGUGAGCAGGGUAAAGGAGAGAGAGAAAGCUAUGGUUGGGGUGAGCAGGGUAAAGGAGAGAGAGAAAGCCAUGGUUGAGGUGAGCAGGGUAAAGGAGAGAGAGAAAGCCAUGGUUGAGGUGAGCAGGGUAAAGGAGAGAGAGAAAGCCAUGGUUGAGGUGAGCAGGGUAAAGGAGAGAGAGAAAGCCAUGGUUGAGGUGAGCAGGGUAAAGGAGAGAGAGAAAGCCAUGGUUGAGGUGAGCAGGGUAAAGGAGAGAGAGAAAGCCAUGGUUGAGGUGAGCAGGGUAAAGGAGAGAGAGAAAGCCAUGGUUGAGGUGAGCAGGGUAAAGGAGAGAGAGAAAGCCAUGGUUGAGGUGAGCAGGGUAAAGGAGAGAGAGAAAGCCAUGGUUGAGGUGAGCAGGGUAAAGGAGAGAGAGAAAGCCAUGGUUGAGGUGAGCAGGGUAAAGGAGAGAGAGAAAGCCAUGGUUGAGGUGAGCAGGGUAAAGGAGAGAGAGAAAGCCAUGGUUGAGGUGAGCAGGGUAAAGGAGAGAGAGAAAGCCAUGGUUGAGGUGAGCAGGGUAAAGGAGAGAGAGAAAGCCAUGGUUGAGGUGAGCAGGGUAAAGGAGAGAGAGAAAGCCAUGGUUGAGGUGAGCAGGGUAAAGGAGAGAGAGAAAGCCAUGGUUGAGGUGAGCAGGGUAAAGGAGAGAGAGAAAGCCAUGGUUGAGGUGAGCAGGGUAAAGGAGAGAGAGAAAGCCAUGGUUGAGGUGAGCAGGGUAAAGGAGAGAGAGAAAGCUAUGGUUGGGGUGAGCAGGGUAAAGGAGAGAGAGAAAGCCAUGGUUGAGGUGAGCAGGGUAAAGGAGAGAGAGAAAGCCAUGGUUGAGGUGAGCAGGGUAAAGGAGAGAGAGAAAACCAUGGUUGAGGCGAGCAGGGUAAAGGAAAGAGCGGCAGAAAGCCAUGGUUGAGGAGAGAGAGAGAGAAAGCCAUGGUUGAGGUGAGCAGGGUAAAGGAGAGAGAGAGACAAAGCCAUGGUUGAGGCGAGCAGGGUAAAGGAGAGAGAGAAAGCCAUGGUUGAGGCGAGCAGGGUAAAGGAGAGAGAGAAAGCCAUGGUUGAGGUGAGCAGGGUAAAGGAGAGAGAGAGAGAAAGCCAUGGUUGAGGUGAGCAGGGUAAAGGAGAGAGAGAGAGAAAGCCAUGGUUGAGGCGAGCAGGGUAAAGGAGAGAGAGAGAGAGAAAGCCAUGGUUGAGGUGAGCAGGGUAAAGGAGAGAGAGAGAAAGCCAUGGUUGAGGUGAGCAGGGUAAAGGAGAGAGGGAGAGAAAGCCAUGGUUGAGGUGAGCAGGGUAAAGGAGAGAGAGAAAGCCAUGGUUGAGGUGAGCAGGGUAAAGGAGAGAGAGAGAGAAAGCCAUGGUUGAGGUGAGCAGGGUAAAGGAGAGAGAGAGAGAGAAAGCCAUGGUUGAGGUGAGCAGGGUAAAGGAGAGAGAGAGAGAAAGCCAUGGUUGAGGUGAGCAGGGUAAAGGAGAGAGAGAGAGAGAAAGCCAUGGUUGAGGCGAGCAGGGUAAAGGGGAGAGAGAGAGCCAUGGUUGAGGUGAGCAGGAUAAAGGAGAGAGAGAGAGAGAAAGCCAUGGUUGAGGAGGCGAGCAGGGUAAAGGGGAGAGAGAGAGCCAUGGUUGAGGUGAGCAGGAUAAAGAGAGAGAGAGAGAGAGAAAGCCAUGGUUGAGGUGAGCAGGGUAAAGGAGAGAGAGAGAGAAAGCCAUGGUUGAGGUGAGCAGGGUAAAGGAGAGAGAGAAAGCCAUGGUUGAGGUGAGCAGGGUAAAGGAGAGAGAGAAAGCCAUGGUUGAGGUGAGCAGGGUAAAGGAGAGAGAGAAAACCAUGGUUGAGGCGAGCAGGGUAAAGGAAAGAGCGAGAGAAAGCCAUGGUUGAGGAGAGAGAGAGAGGGGGAGAGAGUGCCAUGGUUGAGGCGAGCAGGGUAAAGGAGAGAGAGGGAGAGAGUGCCAUGGUUGAGGCGAGCAGGGUAAAGGAGAGAGAGGGAGAGAGUGCCAUGGUUGAGGUGAGCAGGGUAAAGGAGAGAGAGAAAGCCAUGGUUGAGGUGAGCAGGGUAAAGGAGAGAGAGAAAGCCAUGGUUGAGGUGAGCAGGGUAAAGCAGAGAGAGAAAGCCAUGGUUGAGGUGAGCAGGGUAAAGGAGAGAGAGAGAGCCAUGGUUGAGGUGAGCAGGGUAAAGGAGAGAGAGAGAGCCAUGGUUGAGGUGAGCAGGGUAAAGGAGAGAGAGAGCCAUGGUUGAGGUGAGCAGGGUAAAGGAGAGAGAGAGAGAGAGAAAGGGGCCAGUGUUGUCUGACUUAGAAUAGUCUGGUAAUUGUUUGAUCCAUGAAUCAGCAGGUCUAGGACAUGGUUGUGCAAGCCACAUUUCUCCUCUCUGUCCCCCUCUCCUCUCUCUAUCUCUAAAUGGUUGAAAAAUAUAGCCAUUUCAAGUGUUCUAUUAUCAGCUAUGUACAGUGUUUUAGCAAUGUGCAAAUAGCUGUAGUACGAUUUGUGGGGGAAGAUAAACAGAUAGAUAUUGGUGGUAUUUAUAGUGUUGUUUGUGCUCCAGUAGUUGCCCUUUCCUUAUUGCAACAGGCCACAAAUCGUGCUGUUGUGAUUGCACAUUGUGGUAUUUAACCAAACCGAUAUAGGAAUGUAUUAGUGUUUGAUUUGUUUUCAAAUUCUUUGUGGAUCUGUGGGAAGUGUGUCUGUAAUACAUUUGGUAGGAGGUCAGGAAAUGCAGCUCAGUUUCCACCUCAUUUUGUGGACAGUGGGCACAUAUCUUGUCUUAGGCAACCUCUCUCAAUAGCAAGGCUAUGCUCACUGAGUCUGUACAUCAAGGAUUUCUUUAAUUGUGUGUCAGUCACAGUGGUCAGGUAUUCUGCCACUGUGUACUGUCUGUUUAGGGCCAAAUAGCAUUCUAGUUUGCUCUGUUAUUUUAGUUGACCCUUUCCAGUUUGUCAAAUAGUUGUCUUUUUGUUUUCUCAUGAUUUGGUUGGGUGUAAUUAUGUUGCUGUCCUGGGGCUCUGUGGGGUCUGUUUGUUUUUGUGAGCCCUAGAACUGAGCCCCAAAACCAGAUGGCUGAGGGGACUGUUCUCUAGGUUAAUCUCUCUGUAGGUGAUGGCUUUGUUAUGGAAGGUUUGGGACUUUCUUCCUUUUAGGUGGUUGUAGAAUUUAACGACUAUUUUCUGGAUUUUGAUAACAAGUGGGUAUAGUCCUAAUUCUGUACACAAAGUAUAUUUGUGUAUAUUCUGCAUGUAGAGUCUCAAUUGCGUGUUUUUCCUAUUUUGUGAAUUAUUGGUUGGUGAGCGUACCCCAGACCUCACAACCAUAAAGGGCAAUGGGUUCUAUAACUGAUUGAAGUCAUUUUUUGCCCAUCCCGGGAUGUCGAUUUUUAUGUUCCUUGUGGUGGAAUAGAAGAAGGCCCUUCUUGCCUUGUCUCUUAGAUCGUUCACAGCCGUGUGGAAGUUACCUGUGGUGUUGAGGUAGGUAUAAUUCUUUGUGUGCUCCAGGGCAACGGUGUCUCAAUAUAAUUUGUAUUUGUGGUCCUGGCCACUGGACCUUUUUUGGAACACCAUUAUUUUUGUCUUACUGAGAUUUGUCUGACAGAAUCUGUGCAGAAGAUCUAGGUGCUGCUGUAGGCCCUCCUUGGUUGGGGACAGAUCUAGGUGCUGCUGUAGGCCCUCCUUGGUUGGGGACAGAUCUAGGUGCUGCUGUAGGCCCUCCUUGGUUGGGGACAGAUCUAGGUGCUGCUGUAGGCCCUCCUUGGUUGGGGACAGAUCUAGGUGCUGCUGUAGGCCCUCCUUGGUUGGGGACAGAUCUAGGUGCUGCUGUAGGCCCUCCUUGGUUGGGGACAGAUCUAGGUGCUGCUGUAGGCCCUCCUUGGUUGGGGACAGAUCUAGGUGCUGCUGUAGGCCCUCCUUGGUUGGGGACAGAUCUAGGUGCUGCUGUAGGCCCUCCUUGGUUGGGGACAGAUCUAGGUGCUGCUGUAGGCCCUCCUUGGUUGGGGACAGAUCUAGGUGCUGCUGUAGGCCCUCCUUGGUUGGGGACAGAUCUAGGUGCUGCUGUAGGCCCUCCUUGGUUGGGGACAGAUCUAGGUGCUGCUGUAGGCCCUCCUUGGUUGGGGACAGAUCUAGGUGCUGCUGUAGGCCCUCCUUGGUUGGGGACAGAUCUAGGUGCUGCUGUAGGCCCUCCUUGGUUGGGGACAGAUCUAGGUGCUGCUGUAGGCCCUCCUUGGUUGGGGACUGAAGCACCAGAUCAUCAGCACACAGUAGACAUGUGAUUUCCGAGUCCAGUAGGGUGAGGCCAGAUGCUGAGGACUGCUCUUGUGCCCUUGCCAAUUCAUUGAUAUACACUGAGUGUACAAAACAUGACAUAGACUGAGCAGGUGAAAGCUAUUAUCCCUUAUUGAGGUCAGUGUAGAUGAAGGGGAAGAGACAGGUUAAAGAAGGAUUUUAAGCCUUGAGACAGUUGAGACAUGGAUUGUGUAUGUGUGUCAUUUCGAGGGUGAAUGGGCAAGACAAAAUAUUUAAGUGCCUUUGAAUGGGGUAUGGUAGUAGGUGCCAGGCGCACUGGUUUGAAUGUGUCAAGAACUGCAACGCUGCUGGGUUUUUGACACUCAACAGUUUCCUGUGUGAACCAAGACAGUUUUUACAAAAACAAAUAAACAGGACGAUGAACAAAAAAUAAUCAA